rnacentral:rRNA from 1 species
UACGAAGGGGGGCUAGCGUUGUUCGGAAUUACUGGGCGUAAAGGGUUUGUAGGCGGUUGAACAAGUCAGUGGUGAAAGCCCAGAGCUUAACUCUGGAAUUGCCAUUGAAACUGUUCAGCUAGAGAAUGUUAGAGGAAAGUGGAAUUCCUAGUGUAGGAGUGAAAUCCGUAGAGAUUAGGAGGAAUAUCGAUGGCGAAGGCAGCUUUCUGGGACAUUUUCUGACGCUGAGAAACGAAAGCGUGGGUAGCAAACAGG